UACGUAGGGGGCAAGCGUUAUCCGGAUUUACUGGGUGUAAAGGGAGCGUAGACGGCGGUGCAAGCCAGAUGUGAAAGCCCGGGGCUCAACCCCGGGACUGCAUUUGGAACUGUGCUGCUAAAGUGUCGGAGAGGCAGGCGGAAUUCCUAGUGUAGCGGUGAAAUGCGUAGAUAUUAGGAGGAACACCAGUGGCGAAGGCGGCCUGCUGGACGAUGACUGACGUUGAGGCUCGAAAGCGUGGGGAGCAAACAGG
rnacentral:rRNA from 1 species